rnacentral:rRNA from 1 species
CUGCGGAAGGAUCAUUACCGAGUGAGGGCCCUCUGGGUCCAACCUCCCACCCGUGUUUAUUUUACCUUGUUGCUUCGGCGGGCCCGCCUUAACUGGCCGCCGGGGGGCUUACGCCCCCGGGCCCGCGCCCGCCGAAGACACCCUCGAACUCUGUCUGAAGAUUGUAGUCUGAGUGAAAAUAUAAAUUAUUUAAAACUUUCAACAACGGAUCUCUUGGUUCCGGCAUCGAUGAAGAACGCAGCGAAAUGCGAUACGUAAUGUGAAUUGCAAAUUCAGUGAAUCAUCGAGUCUUUGAACGCACAUUGCGCCCCCUGGUAUUCCGGGGGGCAUGCCUGUCCGAGCGUCAUUUCUGCCCUCAAGCACGGCUUGUGUGUUGGGCCCCGUCCUCCGAUCCCGGGGGACGGGCCCGAAAGGCAGCGGCGGCACCGCGUCCGGUCCUCGAGCGUAUGGGGCUUUGUCACCCGCUCUGUAGGCCCGGCCGGCGCUUGCCGAUCAACCCAAAUUUUUAUCCAGGUUGACCUCGGAUCAGGUAGGGAUACCCGCUGAACUUAAGCAUAUCAAU